rnacentral:rRNA from 1 species
CUGAGAGGAUGACCAGCCACACUGGAACUGAGACACGGUCCAGACUCCUACGGGAGGCAGCAGUGGGGAAUAUUGCACAAUGGGCGCAAGCCUGAUGCAGCCAUGCCGCGUGUAUGAAGAAGGCCUUCGGGUUGUAAAGUACUUUCAGCGGGGAGGAAGGGAGUAAAGUUAAUACCUUUGCUCAUUGACGUUACCCGCAGAAGAAGCACCGGCUAACUCCGUGCCAGCAGCCGCGGUAAUACGGAGGGUGCAAGCGUUAAUCGGAAUUACUGGGCGUAAAGCGCACGCAGGCGGUUUGUUAAGUCAGAUGUGAAAUCCCCGGGCUCAACCUGGGAACUGCAUCUGAUACUGGCAAGCUUGAGUCUCGUAGAGGGGGGUAGAAUUCCAGGUGUAGCGGUGAAAUGCGUAGAGAUCUGGAGGAAUACCGGUGGCGAAGGCGGCCCCCUGGACGAAGACUGACGCUCA